AGCGAACGCUGGCGGCAGGCCUAACACAUGCAAGUCGAGCGCCCUGCAAGGGGAGCGGCAGACGGGAGAGUAACACGUGGGAACGUACCCUCCAGUUCGGAACAACCCAGGAAAACUUGGGCUCAUACCGGAUACGUUCGUAAGGAGAAAGAUUCAUCGGGAACGGAUCGGCCCGCGUCGGAUUAGCUAGUUGGGGAGGUAACGGCUUACCAAAGCGACGAACGGUGGGUGGUCUGAGAGGAUGAUCAGCCUAACUGGGACUGAGACACGGCCCAGACUCCUACGGGAGGCAGCAGUGGGGAAGAUUGGACAAUGGGCGCAAGCCUGAUCCAGCCAUGCCGCGUGGAUGAUGAAGGCCCUAGGGUUGUAAAGUCCUUUCGGCGGGGAAGAUAAUGACGGUACCCGCAGAAGAAGCCCCGGCUAACUUCGUGCCAGCAGCCGCCGUAACAC
rnacentral:rRNA from 1 species